AACGAACGCUGGCGGCAUGCCUAACACAUGCAAGUCGAACGAGACCUUCGGGUCUAGUGGCGCACGGGUGCGUAACGCGUGGGAACCUGCCCUUAGGUUCGGAAUAACUCCCCGAAAGGGGUGCUAAUACCGGAUAAUGUCUUCGGACCAAAGAUUUAUCGCCUUUGGAUGGGCCCGCGUUGGAUUAGCUAGUUGGUAGGGUAAAAGCCUACCAAGGCGACGAUCCAUAGCUGGUCUGAGAGGAUGAUCAGCCACACUGGGACUGAGACACAGCCCAGACUCCUACGGGAGGCAGCAGUGGGGAAUAUUGGACAAUGGGCGAAAGCCUGAUCCAGCAAUGCCGCGUGAGUGAUGAAGGCCUUAGGGUUGUAAAGCCCUUUUACCCGGGAUGAUAAUGACAGUACCGGGAGAAUAAGCUCCGGCUAACUCCGUG
rnacentral:rRNA from 1 species